rnacentral:rRNA from 1 species
UACGUAGGGGGCAAGCGUUGUCCGGAAUCAUUGGGCGUAAAGAGCGUGUAGGCGGCCUGAUAAGUCGGCUGUGAAAGUCAAGGGCUCAACCCUUGAAUGCCGGCCGAUACUGUCAGGCUAGAGUCCGGAAGAGGCGAGUGGAAUUCCUGGUGUAGCGGUGAAAUGCGCAGAUAUCAGGAGGAACACCGAUGGCGAAGGCAGCUCGCUGGGACGGUACUGACGCUGAGACGCGAAAGCGUGGGGAGCGAACCGG